rnacentral:misc_RNA from 1 species
GCACCACAUCGGCUUCAAGGAAAUGGAUCGGGAAAAUAAUAAUAAUAGUAAUCGGAGGGGCAACAUAAAGAAGCAGAAGAAAUCGACAACAACUUGUUCUUCCGUGCCUGUGAAUAUCCCUUGCAGCAAUGUGUUGCAGUUUUCGGAGGCUGGUGAUGAUUUUGAAGAGGAAUUUGAUAGAGAGGAAUUGAUUCCGCCGCAUGUUAUAAUUGGGAGGAGAAUUCAAGGGAAAAUGGCAUUCUCU